AUGAACGCUGGCGGUAUGCUUAACACAUGCAAGUCGAACGGGAUGCUUCGGCAUCUAGUGGCGGACGGGUGAGUAACGCGUGAGAAUCUGGCUUCAGGUUCGGGACAACAGUGGGAAACUGCUGCUAAUACCGGAUGUGCAGGAAUGUGAAAGAUUAAUUGCCUGAAGAUGAGCUCGCGUCUGAUUAGCUAGUUGGUGGGUAAGAGCCCACCAAGGCGACGAUCAGUAACUG
rnacentral:rRNA from 1 species